rnacentral:rRNA from 1 species
AGGACGAACGCUGGCGGCGUGCCUAACACAUGCAAGUCGAGCGAGGAGAUCCUCGGGAUGAUCCUAGCGGCGGACGGGUGAGUAACACGUGGGCAACCUGCCUCAUAGAGAGGAAUAGCCUUCCGAAAGGGAGAUUAAUACCUCAUAACAUUGCAGUUUCGCAUGGAACAGCAAUUAAAGGAGUAAUCCGCUAUGAGAUGGGCCCGCGGCGCAUUAGCUAGUUGGUGAGGUAACGGCUCACCAAGGCGACGAUGCGUAGCCGACCUGAGAGGGUGAUCGGCCACAUUGGGACUGAGACACGGCCCAGACUCCUACGGGAGGCAGCAGUGGGGAAUAUUGCACAAUGGGGGAAACCCUGAUGCAAGCAACGCCGCGUGAGUGAUGACGGCCUUCGGGUUGUAAAGCUCUGUCUUCAGGGACGAUAAUGACGGUACCUGAGGAGGAAGCCACGGCUAACUACGUGCCAGCCGCAGC